GAGCAGCAGUAGGAUCUUCCACAAUGGCGCAGCUGAUGAGCACACGCGUGAGUAGAGGUUCGCUCGUAAAGCUCUGUUGUGAGAAGAACGUGCGUGAGAGUAACUGUCCACGCAGUGACGGUAUCCAACCAGAAAGUCACGGCUAACUACGUGCCAGCAGCCGCGGUAAUACGUAGGUGGCAAGCGUUAUCCGGAUUUAUUGGGCGUAAAGCGAGCGCAGGCGGUUGCUUAGGUCUGAUGUGAAAGCCUUCGGCUUAACCGAAGAAGGGCAUCGGAAACCGGGCGACUUGAGUGCAGAAGAGGACAGUGGAACUCCAUGUGUAGCGGUGGAAUGCGUAGAUAUAUGGAAGAACACCAGUGGCGAAGGCGGCUGUCUGGUCUGCAACUGACGCUGAGGCUCGAAAGCAUGGGUAGCGAACAGGAUUAGAUACCCUGGUAGUCCAUGCCGUAAACGAUGAGUGCUAGGUGUUGGAGGGUUUCCGCCCUUCAGUGCCGGAGCUAACGCAUUAAGCACUCCGCCUGGGGAGUACGACCGCAAGGUUGAAACUCAAAGGAAUUGACGGGGGCCCGCACAAGCGGUGGAGCAUGUGGUUUAAUUCGAAGCUACGCGAAGAACCUUACCAGGUCUUGACAUCUUGCGCUAACCUAAGAGAUUAGGCGUUCCCUUCGGGGACGCAAUGACAGGUGGUGCAUGGUCGUCGUCAGCUCGUGUCGUGAGAUGUUGGGUUAAGUCCCGCAACGAGCGCAACCCUUGUUACUAGUUGCCAGCAUUCAGUUGGGCACUCUAGUGAGACUGCCGGUGACAAACCGGAGGAAGGUGGGGACGACGUCAGAUCAUCAUGCCCCUUAUGACCUGGGCUACACACGUGCUACAAUGGACGGUACAACGAGUUGCGAACUCGCGAGAGUAAGCUAAUCUCUUAAAGCCGUUCUCAGUUCGGACUGUAGGCUGCAACUCGCCUACACGAAGUCGGAAUCGCUAGUAAUCGCGGAUCAACAUGCCGCGGUGAAUACGUUCCCGGGCCUUGUACACACCGCCCGUCACACCAUGGAAGUUUGCAAUGCCCAAAGUCGGUGGCCUAACCAUUUGGAGGGAACCGCCUAAGGCAGGCAGAUGACUGGGGUG
rnacentral:rRNA from 1 species